CAUUCAAACAUUAUUGUUUUAGUAUGAUGUCAGUUGGCCGGAUUUGAAGUGGAAUGUGUGAAACACAUUUGACUGUUAAUAAUGAAUUUACUCAACACCAUGUGACCAUCAAACCACAACUGACAACUUGGCAUGGAAAAAUGUGUCUAUCAACCUCACUUCAAGGCAGCCGAUAUGGGACCACAAGAACUCUAUGAUCUAUCAGCUCUGCUCAACACUCCAAAGGAUAAACAACUGACUGUGUUGUGAAGUCUGACACUAUUUUGGGGGACAUGUUAUUGCAAGUUAUAUGGAGCUCCUUCAGCCUCCAACUCCU